AGGCUGCCAAAAAGGACUCGGGGCCUCAGCAGUGUGAGGCAGUGGACAGCGGGGGCGGCAACCACCAGCCCUUGGCAGGUGAUGCUUUGGCUGCAAGAGAAAGGGGGAAGGGAAGCAGGCAGGCAUCUGCUUGGGGGCCGUGCCAAUACAUGUGCUUCUCCUUGGCAGCCGGCAGAGGGGAAGAGGAGCCCACGGGAAAGCGGUGCAGGCAAGGUUGAGGAUAAAGGCUGCUCCAAGUGUGACAGCUUCCUCGGUGAGAUGGAAGACAGAAUUGACAAGGCAAAUUUCAUGGACCAGGUAUCUGUGCUAGUCCGAUAAGCCUGAUGAAACAGUUCCCCAUAUGGACUCAUCUGGGUACCUGUGGAAAUAUAAUCACAGUCAGAGAGCAAUCCUAGAGAUGGACACCCAUAUUAACGUGAAAGGAGGAGAAUUCACAAGAGGCAUGGGCAGAAACCAGGUGAAUCUUUAAGUUUGGCUACUUCAUUUCAGAGAAAAGAGGAAGGGCAUGUAAUGGUCAGUAAGGAAGAAUGGAAAUAACUGGGCUGUCUUAUAGCUCACCCCUCUUACAGUCUAUUAUGCAAAUCUUAGACCCAUUUGAAGAUGACAAUAAAAGAGCUGAGGCUUUUGUUAAUUUGUUUGCUUUGCUUUGCUUUGUUUUUUUGUAAUGGCUCCUGGAUGCCAUAAGGGAGCUUUGAUCCUCUGAUGAAGA